CACGUAGGGCGCGAGCGUUGUCCGGAAUUAUUGGGCGUAAAGAGCUCGUAGGCGGCCUGUUGCGUCCGCUGUGAAAGCCCGGGGCUUAACCCCGGGUCGGCAGUGGAUACGGGCAGGCUAGAGGUAGGUAGGGGAGAAUGGAAUUCCCGGUGUAGCGGUGAAAUGCGCAGAUAUCGGGAGGAACACCGGUGGCGAAGGCGGUUCUCUGGACAGUUCCUGACGCUGAGGCGCGAAGGCCAGGGGAGCAAACGGG
rnacentral:rRNA from 1 species